AGCAGCAGCAAGCAGCAGCAAAGAAGCAGCAGCCGCUUGAGGCCGUGAGACCGAACCCGGGGACAAGGUGCAAAACCCGGCCCGGACUCUCUCCCGGCAGGAGUGGAGAGAGGCACACACCAAUCACUCUCUUUCUCCCUUUCCCCUCACCUCCCUUUCGCUUCGCCCCUCCCCACGCCCCCAACCUUACUACUGCCCUCUGAAUAGGAAGUCACAGCUGCCAGAAAAAAAGAAAAAAGAACCUGAGGGAUCUCGGGAAUGAAUCAACUUUUGACCUGUGAACAACUGUGCAUGACCAGGCAGAAACAUUGAGACUCCCCGGUGCCUGUCUGUCAACCCCAACCAGGUGGAAAAGGGGGAAAAAAAGGUGAAGCAUCUUUCCAGGUAAACACAGUUUCUACAAGGAGACGAUUUGCUUGAAGGACCAGAAAUAACAUCCUAGAACCUGGACUUAACUUAUUUCAAGAGC